GGUUCGAUCCUGGCUCAGAUUGAACGCUGGCGGGAUGCUUUACACAUGCAAGCCGAACGGCAGCACGGACUUCGGUCUGGUGGCGAGUGGCGUGAACGAAGCAGUAAUGUAUCGGAACGUGCCUAGUAGCGGGGGAUAACUACGCUAUAAAGCGUAGCUAAUACCGCAUACGCCCUCGGGGGAAAGCGGGGACCUUCGGGCCUGCACUAUUAGGAGCGGCUGAUAUCGGAUUAGCUAGUUGGUGGGGUAAACGGUCACCAAGGCGACGAUCCGUAGCUAUUUUGAGAGGACGACCAGCCACACUGGGACUGGAGACACGGCCCAGACUCCUACGGAGGCAGCAGUGGGGAAUUCUUGAUUGAAUGGGAAACUCUUGAUCCAGCCAUCCGCGUGUGCGAUGAAGGCCUCGGGUUGUAAAGCACUUUUUGGCAGGAAAGAAAACGGCACGGGAUAAUACCCCGUGCAACUGACGGUACUUGCAGAAUAAGCACCGGCUAACCACAAAGCCAGCAGCUGCGGUAAUACGCCGUAGGGUGCAAGCGUUAACGGAAUUACUGGGCGUAAAGCGUGCGCAGGCGGUUCGGAAAGAAAGAUGUGAAAUCCCAGAGCUUAACUUUGGAACUGCAUUUUUAACUACUGAGCUAGAGUGUGUCAGAGGGAGGUGAAUUCAUGUGUAGGGCAGUGAAAUGCGUAGAUAUGGAGGAACACCGAUGGUGAAGGCAGCCUCAGAUAACACUGAUAGCUCAUGCACGAAAGCGUGGGGAGCAAACAGGAUUAGAUACCCCGGUAGUCCACGCCCUAAACGAUGUCAACUAGCUGUUGGGCCUUGGCCUCUGGUAGCGCAGCUAACGCGUGAAGUUGACUGCCUGGGGAGUACGGUCGCAAGAUUAAAAACUCAAAGCGAAUUGACGGGGACCCGCACAAGCGUGACGAUGGGAUUAACUGACGCAACGCGAAAAAACUCACCUACCCUUGACAUGUCUGGAAUCCCGAAGAGACGGGAGUGCUCGCAAGAGAACCGGAACACAGGUGCUGCAUGGCUGUCGUCAGGUCGCAGUUCGAGGACGUUGAAGAAACCAACGAGCGCAACCCUGUCAUUAGUUGCUACGAAAGGGCACUCUAAUGACUGCUGGUGACAAACUGGAGGAAGGUGGGGAUGACGUCAAGUCCUCAUGGCCCUUGCGGUAGGGCUUCACACGUCAUACAAUGGUCGUGACAGAGGGUCGCCAACCGCGAGGGGGAGCUAAUCCCAGAAACCCGAUCAGUCCGGAUCGCAGUUCGCACCGACUGCGUGAAGUCGAAUCGCCAGUAAUCGCGAUCAGCAUGUCGCGGUGAAUACGUUCCCGGGUCUUGUACACACCGCCCGUCACACCAUGGGAGGAAUACCAGAUGCAGUUAGCCUAACCGUAAGGAGGGCGAUUACCACGGUAGGAUUCAUGAUCAGUGAAGUCGCAGCGUAA
rnacentral:rRNA from 1 species